rnacentral:lncRNA from 1 species
AGUGACACAUGUACAUAUAUUUGGUACACACAAGUACCGCGUAGCCAGCCCGCAUUCAGUAAUUUAUAAAAAUAAUCUAAAGAUUUACGAUUAAGUUUUAUAUAUAUAUAGAGUACUGUCGAUUAUCAUAAAUUAACUAGCCAGUUAAUUAGAAUCCCUCCACUGAUCGAUCAUGUGUACAUAGUUAGUGCUUCUUUGCUUCUUUCUCAGCCUGCAAUAUAUAUAUAUAUAUAUAUAUAUAUAUAUAUAUAUAAUAACGAUAUAUGAAAAGAACAAUAUUAAUUAAUUAGUUAUUUAUUCAGCUUGCAUGCAUGCAAUAGAUAGAGAUGGAGAUGGAGAUGGAGAUGGAGAUGGAAUUAGGAAAUUUUAUUAUAUAAUUACGUACGUACGUACGUACCGCUUUGACAACCCGAUCGAAGGCAUCGGGUCCAUAUUUCUCAAUGUAACGUUCAACUGAUUUCCUAGCAUCAAGGCUCAUCAUCUGCAGAACUUUCCUGUGUCCUUCUGGAUGGGUUGAACUCACAUAUCCCCCCACUUUAACGUAUUUCCUAACCAAAUUCUCAUAAAUGAAAGCUGCACCAUUAAAUAUC